GUGGGGAAUAUUGGACAAUGGGCGCAAGCCUGAUCCAGCCAUGCCGCGUGAGUGAUGAAGGCCUUAGGGUUGUAAAGCUCUUUCAGUAGGGAAGAUAAUGACGGUACCUACAGAAGAAGCCCCGGCUAACUUCGUGCCAGCAGCCGCGGUAAUACGAAGGGGGCUAGCGUUGUUCGGAUUUACUGGGCGUAAAGCGCACGUAGGCGGAUUGGUCAGUUAGAGGUGAAAUCCCGAAGCUCAACUUCGGAACUGCCUUUAAUACUGCCAGUCUCGAGUCCGGAAGAGGUGAGUGGAACUCCUAGUGUAGAGGUGGAAUUCGUAGAUAUUAGGAAGAACACCAGUGGCGAAGGCGGCUCACUGGUCCGGUACUGACGCUGAGGUGCGAAAGCGUGGGGAGCAAACAGGAUUAGAAACCCUUGUAGUCC
rnacentral:rRNA from 1 species